AUCGGAGUUUGCUCUCCUAGGUGAACUGCUCACGCUAACGACCUCCACCUGCCCGGGUUUGUAAUCGGAGUUUGCUCUCCUAGGUGAACUGCUCACGCUAACGACCUCCACCUGCCCGGGUUUGUAAUCGGAGUUUGCUCUCCUAGAUGAACUGCUCACGCUAACGACCUCCACCUGCCCGGGUUUGUAAUCGGAGUUGUCCCUCUCCUAGGCGAAUUGCCUACCACGGCUACGAGCUCCACCUGCCCGUGUUUGUUGUUCGGAGUUGUCCCUCUCCUAGGCAGAUUGCCUACCACGGCUAACGACCUCCACCUGCCCGGGUUUAUUGUUCGGAGUUUGCUCUCCUAGGUGUAUUGCCUAUGACGGCUCACGAGCCCAACCUGCCCGGGUUUUUUAUUCGGAGUUUGCUCUCCUAGGUGUAUUGCCUAUGACGGCUCACGAGCCCAACCUGCCCGGGUUUUUUAUUCGGAGUUUGCUCUCCUAGGUGUAUUGCCUAUGACGGCUCACGAGCCCAACCUGCCCGGGUUUUUUAUUCGGAGUUUGCUCUCCUAGGUGUAUUGCCUAUGACGGCUAACGAGCCCAGCCUGCCCGUGUUUAUUGUUCGGAGUUGUCCCUCUCCUAUGCAGAUUGCCUACCACGGCUAACGAGCUCCACCUGCCCGGGUUUGUGGUCAAAGUUUUCCUUCUCCUAGGUGAACUGCUCACGCUAACGACCUCCACCUGACCGGGUUUGUAAUCGGAGUUUGCUCUCCUAGAUGAAUUGCUUUCGCUAACGAGCUCCAACUGCCCGGGUUUAUUGUUCGGAGUUUGCUCUCCUAGGUGAACUGCUUUCGCUAACGACCUACACCUGCCCGGGUUUUUUGUUCGGAGUUUGCUCUCCUAGGUGAACUGCUUUCGCUAACGACCUCCACCUGCCCGGGUUUUUUGUUCGGAGUUUGCUCUCCUAGGUGUAUUGCCUAUGACGGCUCACGAGCCCAACCUGCCCGGGUUUUUUAUUCGAAGUUUGCUCUCCUAGGUGUAUUGCCUAUGACGGCUCACGAGCCCAACCUGCCCGGGUUUUUUAUUCGGAGUUUGCUCUCCUAGGUGUAUUGCCUAUGACGGCUCACGAGCCCAACCUGUCCGGGUUUUUUGUUCGGAGUUUGCUCUCCUAGGUGUAUUGCCUAUGACGGCUCACGAGCCCAACCUGCCCGGGUUUUUUGUUCGGAGUUUGCUCUCCUAGGUGUAUUACCUAUGACGGCUAACGAGCCCAACCUGCCCGUGUUUGUUGUUUGGAGUUGUCCCUCUCCUAGGCAGAUUGCCUACCACGGCUAACGACCUCCACC